GUGAAAACUGAGAUUUACUAAAUUAAGUGCAGUUGAAAUUUAUUCAAUUGGAUUAUUACUGAUGGUGGGUUUAUUGUGUACUAAUUGUUAUUGAAGUUGUGAUUGAAUUACUUACUGUUUUUAUUAGUAUGUACUCAGGUAAAAACUUACUAAAACUUAAUUCAUUAAUUCUGUAAAUGUAGUCAUAGUGUGUAUUAGAUUUUAAUAAUAUUAGGAAUUUCAAGUGUUUUGAAUAUUGUAGUACUGAGUAAACUGAAUUCUUGUUAUGUUAAGAUUCAAAUCAUUUACGAUGUUUGUAAAAUCACUGUGCAUUAAUGGUUACUAUUAAUAAUGAUAAUCUCAGUAGCAUUGUAUUUUUGAUUAGUGUGUGAUAAUUCUAAGUAGAGAAAUUGAGUGUGGCACAAAGCUGAAAGACUUUGGUUAAAAUGGCUUUCUUGGAAAAUGAAUAAAAGAUUGACUUAUACAACCUAGCAAUAGAAUUAGGGAAGAGGCUACAAUGAGUCUAAAGAUGGUGGAGCUAAAAUCUCUGAUUCAAAAAAAUGCAGCGUAUGACGAAGAGUUUGUUAAGGGUGUUUUCGAGGGAAUAGUAAAUGACAGGUUGGAGGAGGAGAGACUUCGAGAAAAAGAGAGAGAGGAUUGCUGGGCUAGGGAGAUAAGACAAUUUGAGUUAGAACGGCUAAGGAUCGAGGCAAUGGGUAGAUCGUCGCCUGUGCUAUCGGAAAAUUCAAAGUCGAGUAAUAAGCAGUUUCAUCGUGAGAUACAAAAAAUUAUUCAAAAAUUUGAUUCGGAUAGUGGGAAUAUUAGUUUGUAUCUAACAAUGUUUGAGAGACAAGCGAAGAGGUUUAGUAUCGAGGAGAGCGACUGGGUAGCUUAUUUGUUAGCACUAUUGCCCAUGGAAAUCAUACAACUUAUAUCUAAAGAACCUGAAGAAAAGGCUUGUGAUUAAAUAUAUGUAAAGGCUUUGCUCUUAAAAAGAUUCAAAUUGAGCCCCGAAAAAUUCUGUCUUAAAUUCAUUUAGCAUCAACGAAAAUCAGAUGAAACUUGGAUUUAAGUUUUGCUCUCAGAAAUUAUUUAGAUGGAUGGUUAAGCGGUCUGGAGAUAAACGAUUUCGAGAAACUAAAGGAUUUGAUGGUUACCGAUCAAAUGAAACAUCAAGUUGGCAGCGAAGUCAAGGAGCAUCUCUUGGACGACUGAUUAAAAGUUACUUCGGCAGCUAAGUUGGCAGAUGUGUUAGAUAACUACGAAGAUGUCAGAGGAAUUCGAAAAAAAUCAGCCCACCCUGGGUAUCAAGACCAAAGGAAGAAUGAUAGGAAUUUAACUGAUCCUAAAGAUAAAAAGUGGGAUGACGAGAAAAAAAAAAAAAUUUCGUCUCGGGCAGAACAAAUGAAGACCAGCCGAAACAAAGCAUUUGAAAAAAGAAAGGCUUCUAAGUAUUUCAAAUGCAGCUCAGAAAAUCACCUUAGGCCCCAAUGUCCAAAACUCAUCAAGGAUAAAUCACCAGCCAAGGUAAACAACAUAUACCGAUAUAAAAGCGCAGAGGAAUUGUUGUCUCCGUUUAUCACAGACACAUGAGUAAAUGGUCAUUCUAUUAAAGUAAAUUAGACCGGAGCUCUGGUGUCAGCUUAGAAGAUCGGUUGGAACCUUGGCAUGUAGAUCAAUUACAAGAUUUACUAAAGAGAUUUUCUUAGAAUUUCUCCAAAGAGCCGGGAAUAAUGGAAUUAGUAGUGCACAACAUUGAAUUAAUAAGUGACAAACCAGUUAGAUCUAGACCCUAUAAAGUAUCUCUAAGGCAAACGGAAAUUUUGAAAAUGGAGAUUCAGAGGAUGCUAGAUUUGCGCGUAAUCGAGCUAGGGGAAUCGGACUACCCUUUGCCUAUGAUUCUAGUGGAGGCGCCCGGGAAGUGUAUAGAUUACCGCCGCCUAAAUGAAGUAAUACGCACUGAGUUCUUCCCCCUGCCAAAUAUAGAGGAAAGAGUGGAGCUUGUUUCUUCUGCGAGGUAUGUAACUAUUCUAGAUUUGGCAAAAAGAUGCUGGCAAAUUCCUCUAAGUCCAGGGGGCCCAAAGAUUGGCCGCUUUCAUCAUGACAUUUGGGUUGAAAAACGCUCACUACUUUUUCAGUAAGUUGAUGGCUGAGUUAUUAAAAGGGUGUGAAGGCUUUGUUGUCCCGUAUUUGGACGAUGUAGCUAUUUUUUUCCAAUACUUGGGAAGAUCAUAUGAAGCAUUUAAAUUGUGUUUUGGGAAAAAUAACUGCGGCAAAUUUGACCAUUAAGUCGUCAAAAUGUCGUUGUGCUCAAAACCAUGUAACGUAUCUGGGACAAAUCAUAGGACAGGGAAUCAGACGACCAGCUGUGGCAAAAGUUAAAGCAGUUGCUGAUUAUCCCACUCCGAAAACAGAAACUGAAAUAAGGGUGUUUUUAGGUUUGGCAGGUUAUUACAGCAGGUAUAUUUCCAUGUUUUUAUUUAUAGCUUCUUCACUCACGAAUGCAUUAGAGAGGAAAGUAAAGAAGGGGGAAAUUCUUUGAACAAAGGAAUGCGAAGAUGCAUUUAUUCAGUUGAAGGAAAAAUUAAAGAAGGAACCUGUGCUACACGCACCAGAUUUUAAUAGAGAAUUUAUGGUGCAAACUGAUGCUUCCGAUUUAGGGAUGGGAGUAGUAUUAACACAAAUGGAUGAGAACAACACCGAACAUCCCAUCUUGUACUUAAGAAGUUUUCAGUGAUGGAAGCUAAGUACAGCACAACUGAAAAAGAAUGCGCAUGUAUAGUUUUUGCUGUAAAAAACUGCAUUAUUAUUUGGACGGUCCAAAAUUUACUGUAAUUACUGACCACAACCCCUUAGUUUGGUUAAAAACUAAUGCAGGCUCUAAUCCCAGGCUAAUGCGGUGGGCUUUUAGCCCUGCAGCCGUAUAAUUUCCAAGUUAUUCAUUGAGCUGGGAAGAGUCAUAAAUAUGCUGACAGUCUAAGCAGGUCUGCCACUUAAAAAAAUAUGCUUGUAUUUAUCUCUGAAUUCUUUUGUGAAUUUUAUGUAUUUGAAUUGUGUCACUGGUCUUGAUGUAAUAUUACGGUACUUCCAUGUUAUGUUUUCUUUUGCAUGUGUGUAACUAACUCUUUAUCUCAAAUAUACUUAAACACUUUGAUGAGCAAAAUGUUUCUUCGAAGGGGGAAGGAGCAGUAACGUUCCCCUUCUCUGAAGAACACUUGGUCGCCCACCCUAAAAGAAGGGACAGAGGACCCUUUUCUCGCCUCGGCUGGAAGAGGGGAGUGGACUUUCCCCCCUGGUUGCAGGUGGGGGAAAAGAGGAGAUUGAGAUGUGAAACAGAAAAGAGCGGACGCUGACUUUGCACGCUCUACUGUAAUGAAAAUCAUGCGUCUGAAGGUUAUGUUUAACCUACCCUACUCCUACUCUAAAGACUCGUUUGCAUAAUUCUGAGAAAGACACAUGAAAUUGAUAGCUCCAUUAAUGUAAGCUGAAUGUGGCUUUUCACUGGGAAUUUGACCAAGCUGAUGUAAACGGGAGAACUGAAAAACUUUUAAUAUAUAUGAUUAAAAAUUUGACCAGUCAAAGACUUCCAAGUAUUUUGUUGAUAUUGCAUGCUGAGAAACAAAAGACAAGAUUCAAUAUAAAGUUUUAAAUGUUACAAAAAUGCUGCAAAAUACUUUUUUGCGGGAUGAAAAACAAGAUUCUCCUUGUUAUUGUAAUUUCCUGCAAAAGUCGAGAGAUUAUAUGUAAAUUUAGCCUUUCAGUAUUAGUGAUGUUUAUAUAUUAAGAUAUAAAUUUAUUCAGUGGUAUGCGAUGUCGUUUAAUGUAUAUAAUUAUGUUAGGCAGAGAAUGUGACUUUAUCUUAUGCAUUAUGUUUAAUAAAAAUGAUAAAAAGAUGUUGUAGUAUAUGAAUUUAGGUAUCUGAUGCAAAUGUUAUUGAAAUUCAAAUUAUUUUCAGUUUCAAUUAAAAUAUUUAUACAAAUCUAAAAAAUUUACAUUUAAUUAAAUACAACAGUAGCAAUAUUUAAAUGAUAUUCAUUAGCCUUUCUUAAAUAUUGUUAUUCAGCUGUUAAUUUCUUUUUUUUAUUUUUCUUCUUAUUUUUACUCUAUUUAGAAAUCCAUAUCCUCUGUUUGCAUCCAAAUUCCUCUGUAAUUUGACUAAAUAUCCUUAAACUGCAUAUUUAUGUUGAAACUUCAUAAAUUUUACUCAUAGUAGUGCAAUAUCUCACAGAGUUUUCUAAUAUAUUUUGGUAAAUUCUAAUAUAUUUUGAUAACUAAAAAAUUGCAGCUUUCAAUAGUUAAUUAAAAGUAUGUUUAUACCAAUUUGAAUACCUUCUAACUUUAAUUGUGAGCUUCAGAUCAAAUUUAUUUAACCAUCUGGUCAGCAAAUAAACAGGAAAGUAUAUAUGCCUGCAUUUUAAAUUUAGUCAUCUGUUGAUUCAAAAAGUUCUGCAAUAUGUGACUUUUUUAUUUAAACGGAAUGCAAAAUGAUGCUCCAGGAAAGCAUGUAAAGCUAUGAAAUAAACUGAAAGUUGUUAUUGAAGAAAA